UACAGAGGUCUCAAGCGUUGUUCGGAUUCAUUGGGCGUAAAGGGUGCGUAGGCGGCGCGGUAAGUCGGGUGUGAAAUCUCGGGGCUUAACUCCGAAACUGCAUUCGAUACUGCCGUGCUUGAGGACUGGAGAGGAGACUGGAAUUUACGGUGUAGCGGUGAAAUGCGUAGAUAUCGUAAGGAAGACCAGUGGCGAAAGCGGGUCUCUGGACAGUUCCUGACGCUGAGGCACGAAGGCCAGGGGAGCAAACGGG
rnacentral:rRNA from 1 species